rnacentral:rRNA from 1 species
CCUACGGGAGGCAGCAGUGAGGAAUAUUGGUCAAUGGACUCACGUCUGAACCAGCCCUGCCGCGUGCAGGAAGACGGCUCUAUGAGUUGUAAACUUCUUUUGUACGAGGGUAAAUCCCGAUACGUGUAUCUGGUUGAAAGUAUCCUGCGAAUAAGGAUCGGCUAACUCCGUGCCAACAGCCGCGGGAAUACGGAGGAAUCAAACGUUUUCCGGAUUUAUUGGGUUUAAAGGGUUCGUAGGCGGGAAGAUAAGUUAGAGGUGAAAUCCCGGGGCUCAACUCCGGCACUGGCUCUGAUACUGGCGGGCUAGAGUUUACUUGCGGUAGGCGGAAUGCAUGGUGUAGCGGUGAAAUGCAUAGAGAUCAUACAGAACACCGAUUGCGAAGGCAGCUUACCAAACUACGACUGACGUUGAGGCACGAAAGCGUGGGGAGCAAACAGGAUUAGAUACCCGAGUAGUC